rnacentral:lncRNA from 1 species
CGGGUGAUUUCUGCAUUUCCAUCUGAGGUACCGGGUUCAUCUCACUAGGGAGUGCCAGACAGUGGGCGCACGCAGGAUACUCAAACUUGAAACCAACCUACCUUAUCGUGAGGAAGCCUGGUUCAAAUGGAGAGGCCAAUGUAGGUGUACAACAGACAGUCCCAGCUGAAAGGCCCAGCUUGCACACAACAUCACUGCCAGACGAAUGAGAAGGGCCUUAUGAUGAUUCCAGCAUCAGACAUUUGACUUGGCCCAGCUUUUGCUGAACUGCAUCUUGUUUUUGCAUUUCUGACGACCAGAUGACCCUACCCAGACUUGCCAAUGGGUCCGGUGGCCCUCACCCAGGAACCAACUCAGUGCAAGAGGACAGCAUCAACUCCCUAUUAUUUCAUCUCCCACCUAAAAAAUCAGCACUCCCCACUCCUUGGCCCCCUACCCACCAAACUAUCUUUGGAAAAACCCCUAACCUCUGAGCCUUUGGUGAGAUUGAUUUGAGUAAUAAGCCUCUCCCACAAGGCGUGGCCAGCCUCCUG